GUCAUGGUGGUGCAAUGAGUAGCACUGUGGCCUUUCAAGUAGAAGGUUGCCAGUUCGAGACUCGUCCGAUGACC